GAAUCCAGGGCCGGUGCCUUAUCUACUGUGCCACCUAGCUGCCCCCAACAGUGUUUUUGGGUGCAUGAAGCAGCAAGGGCAACUGCUAUUCUGAACCUAAUGCUGACCAGGAUGGAAGACAUGGUGACUGAAGCAGAAAAAAAUGAGGAACUUGUGAGCAAGUGAAUACUCCAUCAUAGAGUUCAGGAAAGAAAUGGGGGAAAAAAGUGUGCAAUGUUCUCCUGGUUCUGUUCACUUCAUUAUGCAUCAGUUCAUUUCACCAAUGAAUAUGUGGAUGACAACUAAAAAAAGACCCGGUUCAACAACAACACUGUGGGAUGAUCAGCUGUGAUCGACUUAGCUCUUCUCAGCGAUACAAUGAUCCAAGACAAUUCCAAAAGACUCAUGAUAGAAAAUGCUCUCUACAUCCACAGAAAGAACUAUGGAGUCUGAAUGCAGAUCAAAGCAUACUAUUUUUGCUUUUUUGUUGUUUUUUGUGACUUUUCCCUUUUGUUCUGUUUCUUCUUUCACAACAUGCCUAAUGUGGAAAUGUGUUUACGUGAUUGCACAGGUACAGAUUGUAUCAAAUUGCUUGCUAUCUUGUGGAAAGGAGAUGGGAGGGAGGAAAGGAGGGAAAAUUUUGAAACUCAAAAUCUUAUUAAAAAAUCUAUGUUGAAAAAUAUCUUUAGAUGUGUUUGGAAAAAUAAAAUACUAUUUACAAAAAAAAAUAAUUGUUCAAGUCAGACUGAACCCAUUUGAAAGAGGAACUAGACUGGUAUAUCAAAGGAGUCAACCUUUUUGUGUGUCGUGGAUUCUUCUGUAGUUUAGUGAAGCUUAUGGACCCCUUCUCAAAAGAAUGUUUUGUAAAUGCAUUAAACGAAAUAUAUAAGAUUGCAAAGGAAACCAAUCAUAUUGAAAUGUAAUUAUGAAAAUAUUUUUUAAUAAAAACCAAGUUCAUGGCUUCCAGGCUAAGGACUCUUACUGGACAUAUAGUGUUCCUGGGUUUCUGCAGUGUUAGAAAGGUCUGUCAUCUACUUCUGUGGACCAGGUAAAAUCAUAUUGUUAGAUGAUAGUAAAAUUAGAUGGACACAAAAUUGGUUGAAUUAUCUGAUUUCAAAUAAUAGGUCAAGAUCAACUUGGAGGGAGAUCUCCAGGAUGAAUGGUCCUGUGCCAGCACUUGUGUCAGUAGCCUGAAUGAAGCCAUAGAAAACAUUCAUGUCAAAUUUUUCUGGGGACAUAAUUAGCUAGCUGACACACUACACAACCCAGUCAAGAUGCAAAAAGAUAUUGCUAGGCUACUACAAUGAAUUUUUAAAAAACUGAUCCAAGAUUUCAUUACUGUAGGGAAUUCCCAUUAAGUUUUCAAUUUAACCAAUUCAAAUUCAAAUUAACAAUACUCUGAAACUUAGAGAAUUGUAAGUGGUAUGUGUCAAAGAUAGGACUUAAACUCAAGUCCUCCUGACGGCAGGGCCACCUCUAUCAACUAUGUUACAUGAUAAAUUUAUCAAUGUAGAAUGAAACGAAUAGGAAGUUCUGUACCUGAGUUCUAGGAAUGAAAUAAAUUUCAAUGUGUCAGAUGAAAAGCAUGUGAAAAGCCUAUGAAAAAGAUCUGGGAGUUAAUAGUCUGUAAUGUUAAUAUCAGUCAACAGGGUAACAUGACAGCCCAAAAUGCUAUUAUUUAAAGCUCAGAGUGGAAUAGUAUUGAGAAUGAAGGAAAUAAUAGUUCUGUGAUAUUUAGUCCUGAUCAGAUAACAACUGGAGUUUUAGAUGCCACAUUUUCAGAAGGUCAUUUAUGAAUUGUAGUGUUGUCAUAGGACAAUAACAAAGAGAGUAAGAGGAAGAGAUCACUUGUCAGCAUAUAUUAUGUAGAAGGGAUUCUUGGUUAGGUAUAAGUUGGACAAGAACUCUGAGGUCACUCAAUUCUUAGAAUCUAUGAAUUGUAAAAUAAAGAGACUGUACUAGAUUAUUUUUAAGGUUCUUCUUUGUUUAGAUUUUAUGAUUCAUCUCCCUUGAACAAGAGCAGAAGACACUAUCCCAGGAAGAAAUACAAAGCCCCGAAGCCCCAAAACAGGAAAAAAAGGAGAAUGGCUACCAGAUGUUAUAAGGUCUAAAUGCCAACUUUUUACUACUGCUUUGUCUCUCUCGGAAGGCAUGGGUAGCUCUUUAAGAAUUCCCCACUGGGUGCCCAUCAAUUGGGGAAUGGCUGGACAAGUUGUGGUAUAUGAAUACAAUGGAAUACUAUUGUGCUGUAAGAAACUAU